UCCCUUCCCCUUCCCGCUGUGCGAAACCGAGCACUCCAAACCCUAAUGUAUUUUAUCUGUAUUUGGAUCUGACCCAAUUACAUGCAUAUGUAUUAUACGCUCUAACUUCGAUUUUUUUUUGCAAAAUAUUAUCGGGUGUGCAAUGUACACUCAUGUCCGCCCCUGGACUGAAUCCCAUGAUCAAUUCGGGGUUGUACCAUUUGGAGGUUCCGCGGGCAAUUUACAGGGAUGGAAAUGGAACAGAGUUCGUUUCUUGUGAGUAUUAAGCAGGGGUGGGUUUAAUGUGGUCAGGAUUGGCGAUCGGCUAUUCUUCAGGGCUGACUGUAUGUAUCCAUGUGUCCACGUUUGUGUGCUUUGAAGCCUGGCUGUGUCUCUGGCUGUACCAAAUGCUAUUGGUGGUUUUGGUGCCUUGCUGAGAUGGCUGGUGACUGGGAUAAAAAUAUGAUCCUUUGAUCCGCCCAGGAACUGGGGGUUUCACCUAAUAAUUGACGGCAUGAUGGUCAAUGGAAGAUAUUAUUUUAUAUGAGGUCUAUCAACUGAAAGCAUACAACAUUGCUUUUGGAGAGGCUUUGUGUGUGUGAGGGGCUUUGAUAGGACAUCUUGAGCACCAAGACCGCUCUAUGCAAGUCUUCACUUCCCAGCAAGCAAAAUUAUCAGGAACAAGAAAGCUGCAGCUUUUGCUGCAUCAAGAGAUGAUGAAUAGGGCAUUGGGAAAAGAAAUAAAGAGGCACAUAAAAGACCCUGCUAGAGGAUCACUGACGAAUAAGUUGCCGAAGUCAACUCAAACACUCAUGGCGAACACAUCUAUAAGAGAUUAUGAAUCACAGCCGCCUACAAAGUUGUGGUGCUGGCAUAAAAUGGCAACAUGAGACAUGACUAUAGAUUCUAGGUCUGGGUUUUUUACCAGCCAACUGGUUCUCGUAUGACAGCAUGUUUGCUGUACCAGCAAUUCAACAGACCUGAUGGGUGAUACAGAGCCUGCUGUGAGGCCAUUAUAGCUGUACUUUCAUGUGAAUUGAGUCUCAUUGUUCUCGUUGUACAUCAGAAGCGUCAGCCAUUCAAAGUGAUCAUUAAUGUUGUUAGAUCAUUCAUGGGAACAAGUCAGAUUAAUUGUUGAUUAUUUUAUUGUUUCAUUGUUGAGGCCAAUCGGCUCAAAAUUCUUCUGAGCUACAGUGACAUCAAAAA